rnacentral:rRNA from 1 species
UACGGAGGAUCCAAGCGUUAUCCGGAAUCAUUGGGUUUAAAGGGUCCGUAGGCGGUUUAAUAAGUCAGUGGUGAAAGCCCAUCGCUCAACGGUGGAACGGUCAUUGAUACUGUUAAACUUGAAUUAUUAGGAAGUAACUAGAAUAUGUAGUGUAGCGGUGAAAUGCUUAGAGAUUACAUGGAAUACCAAUUGCGAAGGUAGGUUACUACUAAUGGAUUGACGCUGAUGGACGAAAGCGUGGGUAGCGAACAGG